rnacentral:rRNA from 1 species
GAGUUUGAUCCUGGCUCAGAACGAACGCUGGCGGCGUGCUUAACACAUGCAAGUCGAACGGGAUUCGGAGCUUGCUCCGAUGAGAGUGGCGCACGGGUGAGUAACGCGUGGAUAACCUGCCCUGGUAUCCGGAAUAACAUCUCGAAAGGGGUGCUAAUACCGGAUAAGCCUACGGGGUCUUCGGACUCUGCAGGAAAAGGUGGCCUCUAUUUAUAAGCUACCGUAUCAGGAUGGGUCCGCGUACCAUUAGCUAGUUGGUGGGGUAAUGGCCUACCAAGGCGACGAUGGUUAGCUGGUCUGAGAGGAUGAUCAGCCACACUGGAACUGAGACACGGUCCAGACUCYUACGGGAGGCAGCAGUGGGGAAUUUUGSGCAAUGGGGGAAACCCYGACGCAGCAACGCCGCGUGAGUGAUGAAGGCUUUCGGGUCGUAAAGCUCUGUCAGUAGGGAAGAAAUGAAAACGGUUAAUACCCGUUUUUCUUGACGGUACCUACAAAGGAAGCACCGGCUAACUCCGUGCCAGCAGCCGCGGUAAUAC